GCUUUACUAUAGCUUGGRAUUGGAUUUGGGCUCCUUUUGCGCAGCCUAGGUGGGAGGCKAAGAAAAUCUUCUUUCGGGAAGGCUKGAGCCAUCAGUGAGAGACCACUCUGAAGGAGCUAAGAUUCUAAAGGUGUUCCUUGAAUCAGGACGCCUAACAGUUUCAGGGGGGUAGUUUGUCUGGGGCGGACUCCUCCUAAAAGGUAACGGAGGUGUGCAAAGGUUCCCUCAGGCUGGACGGAAAUCAGCCGUAGAGUGUAAAGGCAUAAGGGAGCUUGACUGCAAGACCUACAAGUCGAGCAGAGGCGAAAGCCGGCCUUAGUGAUCCGACGGUGCCGCGUGGAAGGGCCGUCGCUCAACGGAUAAAAGUUACUCUAGGGUAACAGGGCUGAAA
rnacentral:rRNA from 1 species